rnacentral:rRNA from 1 species
UACAGAGGUCCCAAGCGUUGUUCGGAUUCACUGGGCGUAAAGGGUGCGUAGGUGGUGAGGUAAGUCGGAUGUGAAAGCUCGGAGCUCAACUCCGAAAUGGCAUUGGAAACUACCCUGCUAGAGGGUCGGAGGGGGGACUGGAAUUCUCGGUGUAGCAGUGAAAUGCGUAGAUAUCGAGAGGAACACCAGUGGCGAAGGCGAGGCCCUGGACGACUCCUGACACUGAGGCACGAAAGCUAGGGGAGCAAACAGG